UAGCUUGCUAGACGCUGACGAGCGGCGGACGGGUGAGUAAUGCAUAGGAAUCUGCCCGAUAGUGGGGGAUAACCUGGGGAAACCCAGGCUAAUACCGCAUACGUCCUACGGGAGAAAGGGGGCUUCGGCUCCCGCUAUCGGAUGAGCCUAUGUCGGAUUAGCUAGUUGGUGAGGUAAUGGCUCACCAAGGCGACGAUCCGUAGCUGGUCUGAGAGGAUGAUCAGCCACAUCGGGACUGAGACACGGCCCGAACUCCUACGGGAGGCAGCAGUGGGGAAUAUUGGACAAUGGGGGCAACCCUGAUCCAGCCAUGCCGCGUGUGUGAAGAAGGCCUUAGGGUUGUAAAGCACUUUCAGCGAGGAAGAACGCCUGGCGGUUAAUACCCGCCAGGAAAGACAUCACUCGCAGAAGAAGCACCGGCUAACUCCGUGCCAGCAGCCGCGGUAAUACGGAGGGUGCAAGCGUUAAUCGGAAUUACUGGGCGUAAAGCGCGCGUAGGUGGCUUGAUAAGCCGGUUGUGAAAGCCCCGGGCUCAACCU
rnacentral:rRNA from 1 species